GACGAACGCUGGCGGCGUGCUUAACACAUGCAAGUCGAACGGAAAGGCCCUGCUUUUGUGGGGUGCUCGAGUGGCGAACGGGUGAGUAACACGUGAGUAACCUGCCCUUGACUUUGGGAUAACUUCAGGAAACUGGGGCUAAUACCGGAUAGGAGCUCCUGCUGCAUGGUGGGGGUUGGAAAGUUUCGGCGGUUGGGGAUGGACUCGCGGCUUAUCAGCUUGUUGGUGGGGUAGUGGCUUACCAAGGCUUUGACGGGUAGCCGGCCUGAGAGGGUGACCGGCCACAUUGGGACUGAGAUAGGGCCCAGACGCGUACGGGAGGCAGCAGGGGGGAACAUUGCACAAUGAGCGGAAGCCUGAUGAGGAAACGCCGCGUGCGGGAUGACGGCCUUCGGGUUAUAAACCGCUUUCGCCUGAGACGAAGCGUGAGUGACGGUAAUGGGUAAAGAAGCACCGGCUAACUACGUG
rnacentral:rRNA from 1 species